AGUGAACGCUGGCGGUAGGCCUAACACAUGCAAGUCGAACGGCAGCACAGUAAGAGCUUGCUCUUACGGGUGGCGAGUGGCGGACGGGUGAGGAAUACAUCGGAAUCUACUUUUUCGUGGGGGAUAACGUAGGGAAACUUACGCUAAUACCGCAUACGACCUACGGGUGAAAGCAGGGGAUCUUCGGACCUUGUGCGAUUGAAUGAGCCGAUGUCGGAUUAGCUAGUUGGCGGGGUAAAGGCCCACCAAGGCGACGAUCCGUAGCUGGUCUGAGAGGAUGAUCAGCCACACUGGAACUGAGACACGGUCCAGACUCCUACGGGAGGCAGCAGUGGGGAAUAUUGGACAAUGGGCGCAAGCCUGAUCCAGCCAUACCGCGUGGGUGAAGAAGGCCUUCGGGUUGUAAAGCCCUUUUGUUGGGGAAGAAAAGCAGCAGGUUAAUACCCCGCUGUUCUGACGGUACCCAAAGAAUAAGCACCGGCUAACUUCGUG
rnacentral:rRNA from 1 species